AGAGUUUGAUCCUGGCUCAGAACGAACGCUGGCGGCAUGCCUAAUACAUGCAAGUCGAACGAGAUCUUCGGAUCUAGUGGCGCACGGGUGCGUAACGCGUGGGGAUCUGCCCUUGGGUUCGGAAUAACUUCUGGAAACGGAAGCUAAUACCGGAUGAUGACGUAAGUCCAAAGAUUUAUCGCCCAAGGAUGAGCCCGCGUAGGAUUAGCUAGUUGGUGGGGUAAAGGCCCACCAAGGCGACGAUCCUUAGCUGGUCUGAGAGGAUGAUCAGCCGCACUGGGACUGAGACACGGCCCGGACUCCUACGGGAGGCAGCAGUAGGGAAUAUUGGACAAUGGGCGAAAGCCUGAUCCAGCAAUGCCGCGUGAGUGAUGAAGGCCUUAGGGUUGUAAAGCUCUUUUACCCGGGAUGAUAAUGACAGUACCGGGAGAAUAAGCUCCGGCUAACUCCGUGCCAGCAGCCGCGGUAAUACGGAGGGAGCUAGCGUUGUUCGGAAUUACUGGGCGUAAAGCGCACGUAGGCGGCUAUUCAAGUCAGAGGUGAAAGCCCGGGGCUCAACCCCGGAACUGCCUUUGAAACUAGAUAGCUUGAAUCCAGGAGAGGUGAGUGGAAUUCCGAGUGUAGAGGUGAAAUUCGUAGAUAUUCGGAAGAACACCAGUGGCGAAGGCGGCUCACUGGACUGGUAUUGACGCUGAGCUGCGAAAGCGUGGGGAGCAAACAGGAUUAGAUACCCUGGUAGUCCAA
rnacentral:rRNA from 1 species